rnacentral:rRNA from 1 species
GUCUACGGCCAUGCCAUCCUGAACAAGCCCGAUGUCUGAUCUUGGAAGCUAAGCAGGGUCGGGCCUGGUUAGUACUUGGAUGGGAGACCACCUAAGACGACCAGGUGCUGUAGGCA